UACAGAGGGUGCAAGCGUUGUUCGGAAUUAUUGGGCGUAAAGCGCGUGUAGGCGGCUUUGCAAGUCGGGUGUGAAAGCCCUCAGCUCACUGAGGAAGUGCGCCCGAAACUGCAGAGCUUGAGUGCCGGAGAGGGUGGCGGAAUUCCCCAAGUAGAGGUGAAAUUCGUAGAUAUGGGGAGGAACACCGGUGGCGAAGGCGGCCACCUGGACGGUAACUGACGCUGAGACGCGAAAGCGUGGGGAGCAACAGG
rnacentral:rRNA from 1 species